rnacentral:SRP_RNA from 1 species
GAAGUCUGCCCAAAGCACGAGGUGUUUGAAGAUUUCGGUCCCAUGCAAUAUGAACCCAUGAACCAUGUCAGGUCCUGACGGAAGCAGCAUUAAGUGGAUCCUCAUAUGUGCCGUGGGGUAGCCGAGAUUUAGCUAUCGACUUUGGUAACGUUUAUGAUGCAUAUACAACGCAAAGGUGCACGG